AGAAAAUUCUCUAUGAGGAAAAGGUAACGCUACUCUCUGAGUGGCGCGACGUAUCGCAGAAACUCGACGCAACCAUGCGCGAGUGACGGCAUAUUGAGUAUUCUCGGAAACACAGGAAACUGCAUACGACAGAGGUUAUGUGAGGGAAAAGUGUUAAAUAGUUAAAUUACUACAUUUUGCAGCAAGGCGAAUUAACAAAGGUGUUGGUUUCCCUCGCGCGAUAAUGUUCGGUGAGAAUUGAAGCCAACGGAACACGAAAACUAUGUUCGUCAACCGAUAGAGCGACAAACUGCUCUCAUUCAUCAGACCGCGUGGUAGAGGAUUAAAAGUCAUUUGAAAAGGAAAACGGGAGAAUAAUGGAGAAUCGCAAUGUUCCUUUAUUUUGCAUUAGCUAUACGCUGAAUUUCCUCGUUCUACUCUUUUUUUCCACAGUAGUGACAAGUAUACCAAUGAAGGAAAGUAUCGUUGAUGUCAUGAAGACGGACGAAAAAUUAUGCGAUAGCAUUAAAGUUUUAUACGAGUCAAAAUAUACAAACAGUUGCGCAUCGUUGGACUAUCCCGUUCAAGCUUGGGACAACAAAGAGGGGACGUUGGACAAGUAUUUAUGCUUAGGAGUCUACGAUACAGCGUAUAAGGUUUGCCAAUACUCUGAUCAUUUGCAAAUUCCUCUUAAUCAUGUAGCAGUAUUCGAUGCAAAUGUGGAAAAAUUUGUUCCCAAUGAAAAGUCCUUCGGGACUGAGGGGAAUAAUGAGGAAACAUACUGCAAGGACAAUCUGCAGGGAUUCACGUCGUUGUACAGUAAAGUAAAAUUACACUGGGGACCACUGGCUGAAAGGUUUGGUAAACCUCACUUAUGUCAAAGAUUAUGUUUCGACCUUAAUUAUAAGUUCCGUCCAUUAUGCGCGGUAUUCGCUUGGAUCAAGAGCAUUGAAGAUGAAAUUAAAAAAUCGAAGAUAUCGGUAACGAAUCAUGAUGCCGUGAACCGUGCACCUGAAGUUUCUAAUCCGAAAGCACCAGUGGAUCAAGAAGUAACUGCUGACAAGAUUCUUGAAACUAAUUUGCAGGAAACAGAAAAGAAAACAGAAAUGAAAAAAUUCAAGGAACCGCAUGACAAAGAAAAGAAUACGUCUGCCAUUAUAUUUAAUGAACACACACAACCUAAUACUGAAAAGGCUGAAUCUGAUCUCGAAAAAUCGAGUAAACACGAAACCCAGAAAAUGUUAAAUGAUAUACUUUCAAGAACUGAAGGUCAUAACUCACAGGACAAAGACAAAGAAAAUAUUAAUAAUGUUAAAACUGAAACUAAUCCUGAAGCACCAAAGACUCCGGUCAAUGUGCCAAGUAAAGAAAAUGUAGAUACGAAAGAAGUUGCGAAAGAAGAAAACGCUAAAGAGACGAACAGGAAGCCAGAAGUUGACGACGUAAAGACUAGUACUCUUUCCGAAAAUACACAGGAUCAUUAUGGUGCUAGCAAUGGAGAAGACGAAGAACCUAUUGAAGAAGUUGAUGACACGAUUCAACAACCAAUAGAGACAGGGAAUCAAAAUGAAAAUCUACAGGAGCCGUUUGAACGGAAAAAUAAUUUGCGGUAUCCUAAUAUGAGGGCUGAGGGUGAUUCUCAUUUCUUCACUUAUUUCAUUGUGACUACUGUGGCGUGUAUCGCUUGUUACAUAGGUUAUCAUAACAAGCAGAAGAUACUUGCUAUCGUAUUAGAAGGUCGAAGAUCGAGAAAUAGUCGCGGUAGACGUCGACCGAGCACAGCCAACUAUCGAAAGCUGGAUUGCACACUCGAGGAAGCCGUUACGUCACAAUGUAAUGCCAACGUUACCCAUGUCAUAUAUUAAUGCGAGUAGAAUAUCACAAGUUUUAUAAUGUCUGUAUUAUAGUACUGCAGGAUUUCGUCAAACAAUCUUACGGAAUAUCAAAAUGUAUGAAUACUGCAUACUAUAACAUAUACCGCGGUAUAUAUUAUAGAAUGUAUGCUACAUGCGGUUUACUGUUUGGUAAUAUCAGAGAGUAUACUUUUAUUUCAUGUGAAACUGCGACGUAAAUGAACAACUUAUUAUUUACGAAACGUCAAGUGUAUUGUCAAUCAAUAGCGCACCAUUAGCGUGUUGUUAAUAUCGCACGAAAAGAUACGCACGGAUAUUUAAAAAUUAUAAUUUCCAAGUGAGACAAAUCAUAAUGAGAAUUCACGUUUAAUAUUUGUGGCAUUCAGUAACUUUCAAGCAAAUCGUUUCUUACGAAUUAUAUAAAGUACAUUAUACGCAAUACUAAAAAGAAAAUAUUAAUUAAUUUUGUUAUAUGCUGUAUCAAAUAUUUUAUAAUUCAUUAUAACGCUUGUGUGAAGUCUGAAUUGGAACUUUAGAAGAACAUGGUACUAUUGCGAAAUAUAACAGAAUUUCUGGUACAGACUUUUUAGACAAUCCACCAAUCAUAAAUGAUUAUUAAUUCAUUUAAUCGCAUCUUGUGAUUUAUAUUUUGUUUCUAUUUAAUAAAUUUUGUUUUACGAUUUUCAUUUAGCCGCUACAUUUAUAUCUAAAAUUGUUUAACUGUUCUUUGUAGACGUUAUUAAUUUAAUAAAUCGAUAGUUCCUUAGUUCAUGUCUAGUGAACGUAGGUUUGUGAGAUUUUAUGAUGAGCCUUUCUGGUCAGGCGAUCCGAGACCUUGUUAACGUAGUCUCGAUUGUCCUAUAAUGACAUGAAUAGAAAAUUAAGAAAAAGCUAUCGUGAUUUAGAUAAAAACGGUGAUGCGUGCGGAAACAAUCACAAGGGAGGCGGCGAAAAAACGACUAACUUGUCUCACUAUUUCAGUACCGUCUACCUGCUAUGGUUUACUCUACAAGUCUUUGUAAGAUUUAAGUCACUAUGCGUUUUGGGAAAGCGAGGUUAUCUUAUAAUAAGUAUAGGUUUGAUAGAUUUUAUAAAAUACUAAUCUCAUGUAUUCCGUAGAAAAAAGGAAUCGAAUCAUAUACUUAAUAUACGACCGCGGAAAAUCCUGAUAAGUUGUUUUCGUUUCGUUCUUGCUUCGGACAUUAAUAUCUUUCACAAUAUGAUGAUUAUUUUAUGUGUUGUGUGUAUUUUAUGUGAUGACUAUUUUACGUGCUGUGCAAGUAUUAUACGUACAGUAUAUGUGAUGUAUUUUACAGUAUACGCAUUAUUCGUAUAUAUUUAACAAUAUAUAAUUGUUUCCGCGAUCGCACUCCAUUUUACACGACUCGUUAAAUAUAUUUUCACUUUGUUCUGUUUUGCCAUUUUUGUCUUA